UCCACACUGUAAACGAUGAUUACUAGGUGUGGGGAGAUUGACCCUCUCCGUGCCGCAGUUAACACAAUAAGUAAUCCACCUGAGUAGUACGGCCGCAAGGUUGAAACUCAAAGGAAUUGACGGGGGCCCGCACAAGCAGUGGAGUAUGUGGUUUAAUUCGACGCUACGCGAAGAACCUUACCAGGUCUUGACAUCCGACUAACGAAGCAGAGAUGCAUUAGGUGCCCUUCGGGGAAAGUCGAGACAGGUGGUGCAUGGUUGUCGUCAGCUCGUGUCGUGAGAUGUUGGGUUAAGUCCCGCAACGAGCGCAACCCUUGCCGAU
rnacentral:rRNA from 1 species